GAUGAACGCUGGCGGCGUGCCUAAUACAUGCAAGUCGAGCGAACGGACGAGAAGCUUGCUUCUCUGAUGUUAGCGGCGGACGUGUGAGUAACACGUGGAUAACCUACCUAUAAGACUGGGAUAACUUCGGGAAACCGGAGCUAAUACCGGAUGAUAUUUUGAACCGCAUGGUUCAAAAGUGAAAGACGGUCUUGCUGUCACUUAUAGAUGGAUCCGCGCUGCAUUAGCUAGUUGUUAAGGUAACGGCUUACCAAGGCAACGAUGCAUAGCCGACCUGUGAGGGUGAUAGGCCACACUGGAACUGGGACACGGUCCAGGCUCCUACGGGAGGCAGCAGUAGGGAAUCUUCCGCAAUGGGCGAAAGCCUGACGGAGCAACGCCGCGUGAGUGAUGAAAGUCUUCGGAUCGUAAAACUCGGUUAUUAGGGAAGAACAUAUGUGUAAGUAACUGUGCACAUAUUGACGGUACCUAAUCAGAAAGCAACGGCUAACUACGUG
rnacentral:rRNA from 1 species